CUCGCGUACGGCGGUUCAGAAAACUUCAAGAAUACCGCUUGAAAAAAAAAGUUUACAUUAUCUUCUUUUGAAACAUCACAUCCAAGUAUCGUUGUGGCUUUUAGAACUCUUUUUAUGCUUUAUAAAAAUAAAGCAAAAUUCACACUUUUGUUCGUAUUUUGAAGCCACAUGGGUUUUAGUUUACAUAUAUACGAAGAACGUAACCCCCGAAAUAAAACCCUAGGAACUGCAGGGUUGCCAGUUUGGCGUUGAAAGAGCCAAAUUUCUCGAUUUUGGCUUCUUUUGACUUCGUUUGGCUACUAAAAAUUUCGUUUGGCUUCUUUCUAUUUUUUGGCUCUUUUUGGCUUCUUUUUGAAUAAAUACUGAAAU